UACGUAGGGUCCGAGCGUUGUCCGGAAUUAUUGGGCGUAAAGGGCUCGUAGGCGGUUUGUCGCGUCGGGAGUGAAAACUCAGGGCUCAACCCUGAGCGUGCUUCCGAUACGGGCAAACUAGAGGUAUGCAGGGGAGAAUGGAAUUCCUGGUGUAGCGGUGGAAUGCGCAGAUAUCAGGAGGAACACCGGUGGCGAAGGCGGUUCUCUGGGCAUUACCUGACGCUGAGGAGCGAAAGCAUGGGGAGCGAAC
rnacentral:rRNA from 1 species